CUCGUACUCCCUCCGUCCGGAAAUACUUGUCAUCAAAAUGAAUAAAAGGGGAUGUAUCUAGAUGUAUUUUAGUUCUAGAUACAUCCCUUUUUGUCCAUUUUGAUGACAAGUAUUUUCGGACGGAGGGAGUAUAUG
rnacentral:pre_miRNA from 1 species